GAUUUUUGUCCAGUGGUUUCAAUGUCAAAGUUAAGAAAAAAUUGAAUUAAGCGCGGGUGAACGGCGCGAGUAACUAUGACUCUCUUCUGGCGUGCGGCGGCCUAGUUUUGCUCGCUCGCACAUAGAUCGAA
rnacentral:ncRNA from 1 species